rnacentral:rRNA from 1 species
CCUACGGGUGGCUGCAGUGAGGAAUAUUGGUCAAUGGCCGAGAGGCUGAACCAGCCAAGUCGCGUGAGGGAAGAAUGUCCUAUGGAUUGUAAACCUCUUUUGUCAGGGAGCAAAGUCACCCACGUGUGGGCGUUGGAGAGUACCUGAAGAAAAAGCAUCGGCUAACUCCGUGCCAGCAGCAGCGGUAAUACGGGGGAUGCGAGCGUUAUCCGGUUUUAUUGGGUUUAAAGGGUGCGUAGGCGGGUUAUCAAGUAAGCGGUAAAAUCGUGGGGCUCAACUCCAUCCAGCCGUUGAAACUGAUGUGCUUGAGUGGGCGAGAGGUAGGCGGAAUGCGUGGUGUAGCGGUGAAAUGCAUAGAUAUCACGCAGAACUCCGAUUGCGAAGGCAGCAUACCGGCGCCCGACUGACGCUGAGGCACGAAAGCGUGGGUAUCGAACAGGAUUAGAUACCCGUGUAGUC